UAACCAAAAGCCAGAACCAACUUGUCAGAAUUUGAGUUCACUUAUGUGAGUCAUCUUGCAGCACAAGGCGGCCAACCCCAGUCAAGUUUUCAGGUAACUGCAGCCCCAAGUGACAUCUUGACUACAACCUCAUGAGAGACAUCAAGCCACAGCCACCUAGCUAAGCUGCUUCUGAGUUCCUACCCACAGAAACUGUGUGAGAGAAUAAAUGUUUAUUUUUGCUUUAAGCCAUUACAUUUUGGGGGUAAUUUGUUAUGCAUCAAUAGAUAACUAUAUAGACUAUAAAUUCCUUGAAGUAGGAUUCGUCUUAUACUCAUUUUACUUCAAGUUAUUGCAUCAAUCACCUCCCUGCCCCCUAACUUGGAGAUUAGAGCAUCCUAAAACAUCUGGUGAAAUAUGAAAGAUGAAAUUCAGCAUAAUGCAACUAAAUGAGAAAAAACAAGAGUGAAUCAGUCUAUUCUGACCAUUUUUUCUUCCCUGAGUAUUUAAGAUUCCCUAGAGUGGAAGUGAGAACAAGGAAGUAGAACUCAGGUCUCAGAUUGGCAGGAAGGACAGCUCACUGCUAACCUAGAAUCUAUGCUAAACAGCACAGGACCUGGACUUCAGGAUUUUGUAAAGCUAAAACACUGACUCAUCUGUUGAAAUCGCCAAUUCAACAAAAGGACAUCUCAAUGGAGCUUCUAAU